CCCUAUAUAAACUAAAUUGAUCACAAUUCAAUAUAUUUUAAAACCAAACCUGAGAAUGUUGUGCACAUUGCGCUAGUAUUAUACCUAUCAAAAUACCAUACCUUGUUUAGUGAGAACCAUGAGGCGUCUCUUCCACAAAUAUUACAUAUCUUGGGGAGUACAUGCGCGUUUCUUUUACGCAGGGCAUUUAUAUUUAUAGCUUCUGCGACUGAUUGACGUGUAUUAAUUUUUCGCCUUGGUUCUAUUGCCUCCACUUCCACGUGUGAUUCUUCGGUAGAAGUUAUAGUUUUAGAGCUAGUUCCUUCUCCUUUUUCUUCUUUUCUCUGUUAUCUACGGAUCUUCGGUUCAUCACAAAAUCUCUUCCAGCAUUUCAUAUGAUGGUUCCAUUCUAAGUUAAUGGUGUCAGAGUUCUUCUCGAUGUAUGAAUUGACAGAUCCGUCAUCGAUGUUCUCGUACGAUUUCUUAGCUAUUUCAGCUUGUUGACAUUUAAGUUUGGCCCCAUUUUGACCUACACUCAAGAAAUUUCUUAAGCCUUUGGUGGCGUGUAACUUUGCAAAGUUGCUCCGUAACGCUCAAAAUGCAUAAAACAUGAG